rnacentral:rRNA from 1 species
GACGAAGGAUCCAAGCGUUAUCCGGAUUCAUUGGGUUUAAAGGGAGCGUAGGCGGACUUAUAAGUCAGUGGUGAAAGCCGAUAGCUUAACUAUCGAACUGCCAUUGAUACUGUAGGUCUAGAGUACAGAUGAUGUUGGCGGAAUAUGACAUGUAGCGGUGAAAUGCAUAGAUAUGUCAUAGAACACCGAUUGCGAAGGCAGCUGACAAAACUGUAACUGACGCUGAGGCUCGAAAGUGCGGGGAUCAAACAGG